AGGAAGGAGAAGUCGUAACAAGGUUUCCGUAGGUGAACCUGCGGAAGGAUCAUUGUCGAGACCCGAAGAAUAUAUCGAGCGAUUCGAAAAACCCGUUAAAUGUGCGAACGGUCGUCCCGGUCGUCGCCCCUGAAGCUCAUUUGAGGUGAAGGGGCACAGCCGGGGACGAAUGAACAACGAUCUCGGCGCAGCAACGCGCCAAGGGAAGAUUGAAAUGCGUGAGCCCCGUGUCGGGCUCGACGAUGUGGAGUGCUGGUGCACGCCAUGCAUCUGGACACGACUCUUGACAAUGGAUAUCUUGGCUCUUGCAUCGAUGAAGAGCGCAGCGAAAUGCGAUACGUGGUGCGAAUUGCAGAAUCCCGUGAACCAUCGAGUCUUUGAACGCAAGUUGCGCCCGAGGCCAGCCGGCCAAGGGCACGUCCGCCUGGGUGUCAAGUGUUGCGUCGCUCCGUGCCAGUCGUCCCGCCUAAGGGCAUGUCGGGCGAGGCUCGGAUGUGGAGGGUGGCCCGUCGUGUACGUUGGUGCGGUGGGCUGAAGAAUGGGUUUUGUCUCAUUGGCCGCGAACAACAAAGGGUGGGUGCAGGCUCUGAGCGCAGCCUGGGUUGUCUCGUGGUAACGUGAGAGAUGGAUUGUGCCUUUGAUGUGAUCCCCGACCAUGCGUUGCUUGACAUGCGACAGCUUGGAAUGCGACCCCAGGAUGGGCGAGGCCACCCGCCGAGUUUAAGCAUAUCAAUA
rnacentral:rRNA from 1 species